GAUGAAGAACGUAGCGAAAUGCGAUAAGUAGUGUGAAUUGCAGAAUUCAGUGAAUCAUCGAAUCUUUGAACGCACAUUGCGCCCCUUGGUAUCCCGAGGGGCAUGCCUGUUCGAGCGUCAUUUCACCACUCAAGCCUGGCUUGGUGUUGGGCGACGUCCCCUUUGGGGACGCGCCUCGAAACGCUCGGCGGCGUGGCACCGGCUUUAAGCGUAGCAGAAUCUUUCGCUUUGGAAGUCGGGGCCCCGUCUGCCGGAAGACCUACUCGCAAGGUUGACCUCGGAUCAGGCAGGGAUACCCGCUGAACUUAAGCAUAUCAAUAAGCGGGGA
rnacentral:misc_RNA from 1 species